rnacentral:rRNA from 1 species
UACGGGGGGGGGCAAGCGUUGUUCGGAAUUACUGGGCGUAAAGGGCUCGUAGGCGGCCAACUAAGUCGGACGUGAAAUCCCCAGGCUCAACCUGGGAACUGCAUCCGAUACUGGAUGGCUUGAAUCCGGGAGAGGGAUGCAGAAUUCCAGGUGUAGCGGUGAAAUGCGUAGAUAUCUGGAGGAAUACCGGUGGCGAAGGCGGCAUCCUGGACCGGCAUUGACGCUGAUGAGCGAAAGCUAGGGGAGCAAACGGG